GUGCUGUGGGAUGAGAUUAACACUGAAAUCAGUGGACUCUGAGUCAAGCAGGUUGCCCUCCACAAUGUGUCGAACGACUGAAGAGAACAAAAGACUGACGUCCCCAAUGUGAGAGGGAAUUCUGCCAGCAGACAGCCUUCCGCUUCGAACUGCAACAUAGGUCUUUCCUAGGAUUCCAGCGUGACAGCCUUCAGACUUGAACUGCAGAUUGUGGACUUGCCAGCCUUCAUAAUCAGGCGUGAGCCAGUCCUUAAAUCUCUCUGUAUACACACAACCUAAUGGCUGUUUCUCUGGAGGACCCUGACGAAUGCACCACUGAAGUCUGAAACAAGUUUCAGGCACAGUAUGAAACAGAAGAAGAGCACGGUCUCUGUUAUCAAGUUGCUUAACAUGUGGUCAGGGAGACAGACUACAAUUUAGAUCAUGACCACAUAGCAGGGAAGAGACAACAAUACAAGUACACAGAUGGAGAGAUUCAGGGGAGUGAUUCCUGCAAUGAGCACUGAAGGAUAUCUAAGCCAGAGGAAGAAGAGGGUCAUGGCAUUCCAGACCAAGGGGAAGCAUGUACAAGGAAGAAUGAAUUGCUUGGAGGCUCCAGGAGGAAUUCAGGUAGCUGUUGCCUGACUGAACGAGGAAAGGAAUGAAUGAAGAGUUGGAUCACUGUUAGUUCUUACUCUGACACUGG